UUGACGGGGACCCGCACAAGCGGUGGAUGAUGUGGAUAAUCGAUGCAACGCGAAGAACCUUACUACCCUUGACAUGUCCGGAACUUGCCAGAGAUGGCUUGGUGCCCGAAAGGGAAUCGGAACACAGGUGCUGCAUGGCUGUCGUCAGCUCGUGUCGUGAGAUGUUGGGUUAAGUCCCGCAACGAGCGCAACCCUUAUCAUUAGUUGCUACGCAAGGGCACUCUAAUGAGACUGCCGGUGACAAACCGGAGGAAGGUGGGGAUGACGUCAAGUCCUCAUGGCCCUUAUGGGUAGGGCUUCACACGUCAUACAAUGGUCGGUACAGAGGGUUGCCAAGCCGCGAGGCGGAGCCAAUCCCAGAAAGCCGAUCGUAGUCCGGAUUGUUCUCUGCAACUCGAGAGCAUGAAGUCGGAAUCGCUAGUAAUCGCGGAUCAGCAUGUCGCGGUGAAUACGUUCCCGGGUCUU
rnacentral:rRNA from 1 species